rnacentral:rRNA from 1 species
AGAGUUUGAUCCUGGCUCAGGAUGAACGCUGGCGGUAUGCUUAACACAUGCAAGUCGAACGGGGGGCUUAGGCCCCUAGUGGCGGACGGGUGAGUAACGCGUGAGAAUCUGCCUUCAGGUCGGGGACAACAGCUGGAAACGGCUGCUAAUACCGGAUGUGCCGAGAGGUGAAAGCUAUAGCGCCUGAAGAUGAGCUCGCGUCUGAUUAGCUAGUUGGUGGGGUAAGAGCCUACCAAGGCGACGAUCAGUAGCUGGUCUGAGAGGAUGAUCAGCCACACUGGGACUGAGACACGGCCCAGACUCCUACGGGAGGCAGCAGUGGGGAAUUUUCCGCAAUGGGCGAAAGCCUGACGGAGCAAUACCGCGUGAGGGAGGAAGGCUCUUGGGUUGUAAACCUCUUUUGAUCAGGAAGAAGGUCUGACGGUAC